UACGGAGGAGGCAAGCGUUAUCCGGAAUUACUGGGCGUAAAGCGCGCGUAGGCGGCUCGGUCAGUCGGGUGUGAAAUCCCUGGGCUCAACCUGGGAACUGCAUUCGAUACUGCCGAGCUAGAGUGUGGGAGAGGGUAGUGGAAUUCCCGGUGUAGCGGUGAAAUGCGUAGAUAUCGGGAGGAACAUCAGUGGCGAAGGCGACUGCCUGGCCCAACACUGACGCUGAGGUGCGAAAGCGUGGGUAGCAAACAGG
rnacentral:rRNA from 1 species